CAGUACGUGAAACCGUUCGGGGGUAAACGGACAGAGCCCGUGAAUCCGGGCGCGCGGAAUUCAGGACCGACGUUUGGCCGCGCGCGGUUCUGCCGUGCGUUGGUCGAACGUCGAUUCGAUAUUUCCGCCGCCGACCGUCAUUGGUGCGGACGUCGCGACCCGUUCGUCGUCGGUCACUAACGAGUCGCGUUUCAAGUUUGUCGCGCGUCGCGCGGUUCCGCGCUCUUCGGGGCGCGCGAAUCCGUACGCGCGACGAGGGCGCGAAUCUCGGGCCGACGUUUACGCGGACGGUAGCUGCAAACGUGCGGGUAUUCGACGCGGCCGAUGCACGGUCGCGCGCGCCAUCUUUCGGGAUGGCGCGCGCGCCCGUGUCGCGCUCGCGUCGACGCCGGUCAGCGACGAAUCUUCGGGCCUCUUUCCGACCCGUCUUGAAACACGGACCAAGGAGUCUAACGUGCGCGCGAGUCGCGGGGUAUUCGAGGUCGUUAAAAUACACAAAAUACGCGACCUCGUUACGUAACGAAACCCGUACACGUACGUUGUGCGAAGGCGUAAUGAAAGUGAGGCGUCGUGCGUGCGCGUGCACUCGUGUACGCGCGCGCGCGCUCGCCGGGGAAGACGGUGUUCCGAGUACACGAAUUUUCGCGGCCGUAUUCUCCUUCUUCUCGGAGGAGGUGUUGUACGACGCCCGAAACCGGACACCCGCAUUCCCGGGGCGUCCCGCUCGUACGUCGUCGACGCGGAUCGACUUCGCGGUCGG
rnacentral:rRNA from 1 species